AGCGAACGCUGGCGGCAGGCCUAACACAUGCAAGUCGAACGAACCCUUCGGGGUUAGUGGCGGACGGGUGAGUAACACGUGGGAACGUGCCUUUAGGUUCGGAAUAACUCAGGGAAACUUGUGCUAAUACCGAAUGUGCCCUUCGGGGGAAAGAUUUACCGCCUUUAGAGCGGCCCGCGUCUGAUUAGCUAGUUGGUGAGGUAAUGGCUCACCAAGGCUACGAUCAGUAGCUGGUCUGAGAGGAUGACCAGCCGCAUUGGGACUGAGACACGGCCCAAACUCCUACGGGAGGCAGCAGUGGGGAAUCUUGCGCAAUGGGCGAAAGCCUGACGCAGCCAUGCCGCGUGGAUGAUGAAGGUCUUAGGAUUGUAAAAUCCUUUCACCGGUGAAGAUAAUGACUGUAGCCGGAGAAGAAGCCCCGGCUAACUUCGUGCCAGCAGCCGCCGUAACAC
rnacentral:rRNA from 1 species